UACGUAGGCAGCAAGCGUUGUUCGGAGUUACUGGGCGUAAAGGGUGCGUAGGCGGUCCUAUAAGUAUGGUGUGAAAUCUCCCGGCUUAACUGGGAGGGUGCGCUAUAGACUGUGGGACUAGAGUGUGGGAGAGGAAAGUGGAAUUCCUGUGUAGCGGUGAAAUGCGUAGAUAUCAGGAGGAACACCGGUGGUGUAAACGGCUUUCUGGACCAUAACUGACGCUGAGGCACGAAAGCGUGGGUAGCAAACAGG
rnacentral:rRNA from 1 species